UACGGAGGGUGCAAGCGUUAUCCGGAUUCACUGGGUUUAAAGGGUGCGUAGGUGGGUUGAUAAGUCAGUGGUGAAAUCCCCCGAGCUUAACUUGGGAACUGCCAUUGAUACUAUUGAUCUUGAAUACCGUGGAGGUCAGCGGAAUAUGUCAUGUAGCGGUGAAAUGCUUAGAUAUGACAUAGAACACCAAUUGCGAAGGCAGCUGGCUACGCGAAUAUUGACACUGAUGCACGAAAGCGUGGGGAUCAAACAGG
rnacentral:rRNA from 1 species